rnacentral:rRNA from 1 species
UACGGAGGAGGCUAGCGUUGUUCGGAAUUACUGGGCGUAAAGCGCGCGCAGGCGGCUUUGCAAGUCAGGGGUGAAAGCCCGGGGCUCAACCUCGGAACUGCCUUUGAGACUGCAAGGCUCGAGACCGGGAGAGGAGAGUGGAAUUCCCAGUGUAGAGGUGAAAUUCGUAGAUAUUAGGAAGAACACCAGUGGCGAAGGCGGCUCACUGGUCCGGUACUGACGCUGAGGUGCGAAAGCGUGGGGAGCAAACAGG